rnacentral:rRNA from 1 species
CAGUAGCCGCGGGAAUACGGAGGGUGCAAGCGUUAAUCGGAAUUACUGGGCGUAAAGCGCACGCAGGCGGUUUGUUAAGUCAGAUGUGAAAUCCCCGAGCUUAACUUGGGAACUGCAUUUGAAACUGGCAAGCUAGAGUCUUGUAGAGGGGGGUAGAAUUCCAGGUGUAGCGGUGAAAUGCGUAGAGAUCUGGAGGAAUACCGGUGGCGAAGGCGGCCCCCUGGACAAAGACUGACGCUCAGGUGCGAAAGCGUGGGGAGCAAACGGGAUUAGAUACCCGAGUAGUCCUGUCUCUUAUACA